UACGUAGGCAGCGAGCGUUGUCCGGAAUCACUGGGCGUAAAGGGCGCGUAGGUGGCGCGGGAAGUCAACGGUGAAAGUUCAGGGCUCAACCCUGAAUCGGCCGUCGAUACUCCCGGGCUUGAGCACUGUAGAGGCAGAUGGAAUUCCGGGUGUAGCGGUGGAAUGCGUAGAGAUCCGGAAGAACACCGGUGGCGAAGGCGGUCUGCUGGGCAGUUGCUGACACUGAUGCGCGACGGCGUGGGGAGCAAACAGG
rnacentral:rRNA from 1 species